rnacentral:rRNA from 1 species
GAUGAACGCUAGCUACAGGCUUAACACAUGCAAGUCGAGGGACCGGCGCACGGGUGAGUAACGCGUAUCCAACCUUCCCGCAAGUAAGGGAUAACCCGUAGAAAUGCGGCCUAAUACCUUAUGCUUGCGGAUGGGGAUGCGUCUGAUUAGUUAGUCGGCGGGGUAACGGCCCACCGAGACGACAAUCAGUAGGGGUUCUGAGAGGAAAGUCCCCCACAUUGGAACUGAGACACGGUCCAAACUCCUACGGGAGGCAGCAGUGAGGAAUAUUGGUCAAUGGGCGGAAGCCUGAACCAGCCAAGUAGCGUGCAGGAUGACGGCCUAUGGGUUGUAAACUGCUUUUAUGCGGGGAUAGGUACCGCAUGAAUAAGGACCGGCUAAUUCCGUGCCAGCAGCCGCGGUAAUACGGAAGGUCCGGGCGUUAUCCGGAUUUAUUGGGUUUAAAGGGAGCGCAGGCCGCCGGGCAAGCGUGUUGUGAAAUGCAGUCGCUCAACGUCUGCACUGCAGCGCGAACUGCCCAGCUUGAGUGCGCGCA